AGAGCGAACGCUGGCGGCAGGCCUAACACAUGCAAGUCGAGCGCCCGUAGCAAUACGGGAGCGGCAGACGGGAUAGUAACACGUGGGAACGCGCCCUUCGGUUCGGAACAACCCAGGGAAACUUGGGCUAAUACCGGAUACGCCCGUAAGGGGAAAGAUUUAUCGCCGGAAGAUCGGCCCGCGUCUGAUUAGCUAGUUGGUGAGGUAACGGCUCACCAAGGCGACGAUCAGUAGCUGGUCUGAGAGGAUGAUCAGCCUCACUGGGACUGAGACACGGCCCAGACUCCUACGGGAGGCAGCAGUGGGGAAUAUUGGACAAUGGGCGCAAGCCUGAUCCAGCCAUGCCGCGUGGGUGAUGAAGGCCCUAGGGUUGUAAAGCCCUUUCGGCGGGGAAGAGUAAUGACGGUACCCGCAGAAGAAGCCCCGGCUAACUUCGUGUCAGCAGCCG
rnacentral:rRNA from 1 species